ACCUCCCCGCUCAAACAAAACUGACCCUCCGGGGGGAGGGGAAACAAUCAACCCAGACCUGCCGGCACUUAUAGACCAGUGCAAAAUAUUUAUUACAGUCUUUGUACCCAAGCGGUGACAGAAGUACGUCGCCGUUAUGCUGAUAGGCGUGACGGACGUUAUUCCGGCGGAGGCGGGAGUCCUGUUCGUUGGGACCACGCGGGAAUCCCCAUUGCAGCCGACACUGUGAACGAUUAGACUCAACAUUUUUAGGAAGAAAGGUCCAGAUUUCCAGCAGGAUUUGUGUGAGGAUGUACUUUUUGAUACCACUACUGAAUCACCCAAGACUGAUGCCAUAUUUGUGACCCUUAAUACUGCAAGCUCAUGAGCAAACAGCCUCUUCCCUGACAAAAAGAAGAUCAUUGAUAAAGCAAUUGGAAAUGUUUGAUUCGACCAGAUACAGAUCAGCACAAGUUCAUCAACUACGCUUCUUACUCACUCCAAGUUCCAGUUCAUCUGCUUCCAAACAGAAGGUUGGCUCAGAUCCAGGAGUGCAGCAGGUUAACAGACAGAUUCCCAUUGUGCCUGAACAGAAAAAUAAUAAAUUCAUAAUCAAAAGAACUUGUACAGAUGAUAUUGCUUCUAACUGAUCUACAUCAGAUGGCAUAUUCAAGCUAAAUGAAUAAGAGAACGAAGGAGAAGCAACAGAACAAUGAACAAAGCCUGUCCAAAUUCCCUUCAAGCCUCAUUGUAUCAUCCUCAUAACUCAUUCCUACAUCAUUAUGUUGUCUGCAAACUUUUCAAUAUUACAUUUGGUGUCCACAUUCAGAUCAGUGAUACAGAUUGUGAACAGCUGGGUUCUAAGCACAGACCCUUGAAACACCCUACUCAUCACACAUUGCCAACCUGAGAAUGACCCAUUUAUUUCUGCUCUGUUUUCUUUCCAUUAACCAAUCCUCAGUCUAUGCCAGUAUGUUACCCCGAUCCUAUGUACUGCUGUUUUGUUUAUUAAUCCCUUGUAUGGGAUCUUAUUAACAGCCACUGAAAAUCCAAAUACACAACACCCACUUGUACACCUUUAUCUACUCUA